AGAACGAACGCUGGCGGCAUGCCUAAUACAUGCAAGUCGAACGAACUCUUCGGAGUUAGUGGCGCACGGGUGCGUAACGCGUGGGAAUCUGCCCCUUGGUUCGGAAUAACAGUUGGAAACGACUGCUAAUACCGGAUGAUGACGAAAGUCCAAAGAUUUAUCGCCAAGGGAUGAGCCCGCGUAGGAUUAGCUAGUUGGUGAGGUAAAGGCUACACCAAGGCAACGAUCCUAGCUGGUCUGAGAGAUGAUCAGCCAACACGUGGACUGAGACGACCGGCCAGACCUCCGUACGGGAGGACAGCAGGUAGGAAUAUUAGGACAAGUGGGACGAAAGCCUAGACUCCAGACAAUCGACCGCGU
rnacentral:rRNA from 1 species